AGCAACCCGAGGAUCCUAUUUGGAAACUUAUGAUCGCUCUGUAGAACAAAUUCAUAUCUGAAGCGAUCCAGUUUGGGGAUUCGAAGUGGACUCAAAGCCCCGGAGGUUUUGGCAACUUUCCAUCUGGAAUUAGGGUUUUUGAAGCAUUUUGUGAUUUGGAUAUCGGAUUUUGGAAGAAAUGCUUGGGGAUUCGUCAUCGGAGUCUGGAGGGGACGAAAAGGAAAACGAGUUCGUCGAGGUCGAUCCUACAGGUCGCUACGGACGGUACAAUGAAGUUCUGGGAAAGGGCGCAUUCAAGACUGUCUAUAAGGCUUUUGAUGAGGGAGAGGGAAUAGAGGUUGCUUGGAAUCAGGUGAAGCUUGUUGAUGUUCUGCAAAAUGCUGCUGACAUGGAAAGGCUCUACUCCGAAGUUCAUUUGCUGAAGACUUUAAAACACAAGAACAUAAUUAAAUUCUAUAGCUCAUGGGUUGACACGAAAAAUGACAACAUAAAUUUCAUCACCGAGGUCUUCACUUCAGGGACCUUGCGCCAAUAUCGGAAGAAGCAUAAGCAUGUUGACUUGAGAGCACUGAAGAAUUGGUCAAGGCAGAUCUUGUGUGGCCUUCUUUACCUGCAUAGUCAUGAUCCCCCUGUUAUUCACAGGGACCUGAAAUGUGACAACAUAUUUGUCAAUGGAAAUCAAGGAGAGGUUAAGAUUGGUGACCUUGGUUUGGCAGCCAUUCUACGCCAAUGUCACUCAGCCCAUAGUGUUAUUGGUACUCCUGAAUUCAUGGCUCCUGAACUUUAUGAAGAGGAGUAUAAUGAGCUGGUUGAUAUUUAUGCAUUUGGGAUGUGUUUGUUAGAACUUGUGACCUUUGAAUACCCAUAUGCGGAAUGUAAAAAUGCAGCACAAAUAUAUAAGAAAGUGACUUCGGGUAUCAAGCCUGCAUCAUUGACCAAGGUGAAGGACCCUGGGAUAAGACAAUUCAUUGAGAAAUGUAUUGCUAAUGCUUCUGAAAGAAUGUCUGCUGACGAAUUGUUGAGGGAUCCCUUUCUUCAAAUGGAUUCCGAAAAUGAUAUCUUAUGUAAUUCCAGACCAUUAGAUCAUAACAGUUCAGAUACCAUCAUGCAAGAAACAUCUACAGGUGGAAUAGACUGCACGGUGGAAGGUCAAAGAAAAGAUAUUAAAACACUUUUUUUGAAGCUAAGGAUUGCAGAUUCUACAGGUCAAAUUCACAAUAUCCACUUUCCAUUUAAUAUUGAAGCGGACACAUGCAUUAGUGUGGCUGCUGAAAUGGUUGCAGAGUUAGAUCUUACUGAUCAAGAUGUAAGCACCAUUGCUGAUAUGAUCAAUGCAGAAAUACAAGUUCAUUUUCCUGGGUGGGCUCCAGGAACCCUUGGUGAAGAUCCUGACAAUGAGGCUCCAUCAAAUAAAGAAGAUUUUAAAGCUGAAGAUGAGACUCAUGCUACUGGCGAUCUUUUGUUGGAACGACUACCUGCUGGGAAAAAAUAUUGGUCUGAUUUUCCCAAUGGAUCACGUAGUAACUCUGCCUUUGGACAAAAUUUGGUGUUAAGUCCUUGUGACAGCGAUGAUGUUUUGGAGAUGAAAGAUAAUUUAUAUUUCCGGGAUGAUUAUUCUCAAGGUUUUGCUUUAGUUGAACGGGAAAGAAGCCUGAGGCAUUCCAUCACCAGCUAUCGAGAAAAAAAUCAUGCUUCAGAAAGCUUGUCCUCCAGUAGUCUGGUUGCCCAGGAGCUUAUUGAGGAAUCUACUAUCUCUGAUUCCAUUGAAAACCAAAUGGAAGCAUUCCGAAAUGAUGAUACUAAUGUGCUGUCAGAGAAUGGGUCCAAAGCUCUCGAGUCUGUUAUACUCAAACUAGAGGAACUUUUGCUUAAGCAACAAAAGGAAAUUGAUGAUCUUAGAGAAAGACAUGAUUUUGCCAUAGCAGACACGUUGAGGGAAUUGCCUCUUGAGCUACAAAAUAGAGCCUUCAGGAUAUGCCACCUGAAAAUUCUUGAUUGCAGUAUGAAAUCUAAGAGUGAAGUAGCAUGGAAGUAUCUUUGAAUUAUUGAUCGGCCAUUCAUUAGGGGGUGUUUUACUUUGGAGAAAUGGUUGCGUAGUACACUAGAUAACUUGUUUGAUUUGUUCAUGUAGAGCUAAAGAGAAAAAGAAAGAAUGUAUUCUGCUAGAUAUUUGGAAGGCAUCUUUCCAGAUACAAAGUUUUUGAUGAGAGGGAGGGAGUAGAGGAUGCUUGGAAUUGGCUGACACUUCUGAUAUCCUAAAUAACGUUGAUGACUUGGAAAGCUACUCUGAAGUCCACUUGCUCAAAACUCUAGACUCUAAUUCACAGUAACAUAAUUAAGUUAUAUAGUUUAAAGGGUGGGUAUCCAUCCCUACAAAAUCAAAUUCAUCUCUGAGGUCUUCACCUUAGGAAUCUUGAGUAUAGCAGAAUUCAUUAUUCCUCGACUUUAUAAGAGGAGCAUAAUAAGCAGGUUGAUAUCAAUGUAAUUGGAUGUGUUAGAGCAGGAUUGAAAGCUGAAAUAAUCUGAUUUAGUUCUAUGAAGCUCAAUACCUUUGUCGUGACUGUUGACUGGAGAUCUGCUUUAAACAUUCUGCACACCCUUGUUACAAUGUUACCAAUAAGGUUUGUGCUACAGUCGUGUAAUGACUAGACCUGCUAUAACUUUUUUCAUUUUUAUUAUUUUUGUUGCAUAACCAUUUAUGAAAAAGAUUGAUGAUUCCAGCAGCAAGUGGGCAAAGGCUGUCUGAAAACCUCGAGGAAGCAAUUGGUCUAUAGUUUUCUUUCUCGUGGCACAACACAAAAUCUUAACAUAAAGGUGGUGGCUUUAGCCAAAGGCGGAAUCAGACAAUUUUGCAAGUGUGGCAAUUUAUUAAAUAAAAUAAUUAGUUUUAUUACAUAAAAUUGGUAGCACAUAUUCAAGAAUUUUUAUUUUAUUAUCAUUGUUGAAUUAAACAAUGACUACAAGCUUCUUAUUCUAUUCUGUAUUGUUUGAUAAUAUUAUGUAAAGUUUUAUUGGAAGUCCAGUCAAAUGUAUAUUUUUCA